rnacentral:rRNA from 1 species
UACCAGCUCUCCGAGUGGUGUGGAUGUUUAUUGAGCCUAAAGCAUCCGUAGCUGGCUGGACAAGUCCCCUGUUAAAUCCACCGAUUUAAUCGUUGGUGUGCGGGGGAUACUGUUCGGCUAGGGGACGGGAGAGGCCGACGGUAUUUCCGGGGUAGGGGUGAAAUCCUAUAAUCCCGGGAAGACCACCAGUGGCGAAGGCUGUCGGCUAGAACGCGCCCGACGGUGAGGGAUGAAAGCUGGGGGAGCGAACCGGAUUAGAUACCCGGGUGGUCCCAGCUGUAAACGAUGCAGGCUAGGUGUUUGGGCGGCCACGUGCCGCUCUAGUGCCGCAAGGAAGCUGUUAAGCCUGCCGCCUGGGGAGUACGGCCGCAAGGCUAGAAACUUAAAGGAAUUGGGCGGGGAGCACCACGAAGGGGUGAAGCUUGCGGUUU